CCCUUAGAUGUUCUGGGCGGCCCGCGCACUACAAUGGCGUGUGCAGCGAGUGCCGAAGUAGAGUUUUCCGAGGUAUUCUUGCAAUGCUCGUUUUGAUGGGGAUAGACCCUUGCAACUGUUGGUUUUGAACGAGGAAUUCCUUGUAAGCAUGGUUUAUCAUCCGACGCUGAAUGCGUCCCUGCCCUUUGUACACACCGCACGUCGCUCCUACCGAUGAGUCGUCCGGUGAAGUUCGUAGACCUCGUGAUCGCGGAUCACUGGGGGAAGCAAAAUGAACCUCGCGGUUUAGAGGAAGGAGAAGUCGUAACA
rnacentral:rRNA from 1 species